AUGCUGCUGCUACUGAUAAUCGUUGCCUUUGUGUCUGAUGCAGAACUUAGAAAGAGUGACUCGGCGGCCGACAACUCUCAACUGAAGAUGGAGAUCUUUGUCAAGAUCCAGUCUACAAAUCUUCGCAUAAAAAGAAAGAUUCACUGUUUAAAGACAGUCAUUCUUGAGGUCAAGGGAUCAGAUACAAUCUGGGAUGUCAAGGAUAAGAUUCGAGACAAGGAGGGCAUCCCUGUAGGCCAGCAGAGACUCAUAUUUGGCAGUAAGCUGCUGGUGGGCAGCUGCACCCUGGAGGACUACAGCAUCGUGGAGGAGUCCGCCCUCACCCUUGAUCUUGUGCAUAUCUUUGUCAGGCCACUGACUGACAGGAUCAUGACUAUUGAUGUUGACAGAGAGGAUACCAUAAGCAGUGUGAAGGCAAUGAUUUUCGAGAAAAACGGCAUUCCCCCCCGCAGACAGCGUCUCUGCUUUGCAGGGAAGCAGCUGGAGGAUGGCCUCACCUUGGCUGACUACGACGUGUACAAUGAAUCUACCCUUUUUCUUGUGGUGCGCCUCCACAAGUGUGAGGGAGGUCGGAUGCACAUCAACAUCAUGGUCAAGACACUGAAUGACAAGAUCAUUACUACUGAGGUUGAGUAA
rnacentral:rRNA from 1 species